rnacentral:misc_RNA from 1 species
GAUGAAGAACGUAGCGAAAUGCGAUAAGUAAUGUGAAUUGCAGAAUUCAGUGAAUCAUCGAAUCUUUGAACGCACAUUGCGCCCGCCAGUAUUCUGGCGGGCAUGCCCGUUCGAGCGUCAUUUCAACCAUCAAGCCCCCGGCUUGUGUUGGGGACCUGCGGCUGCCGCAGGCCCUGAAAACCAGUGGCGGGCUCGCUGUCACACCGAGCGUAGUAGAUUUUCAUCUCGCUCAGGGCGUGCUGCGGGUUCCGGCCGUAAAAAGCCUUAUUUACCCAAGGUUGACCUCGGAUCAGGUAGGAAGACCCGCUGAACUUAAGCAUAUCAAUAAGCGGAGGA